UUUAGAAAACCACUUGCUCAACCUGUUAGUCAUGGGUUUUAUGACCUUUGGUACAUUCAGUUAGUUGUCUGGUUUGCCCCAGUCUUAGUGUCCUAACUCACUAGCCUGUGGCGCUGUAAUUGGAAGGUGCUGGAACCUUGGAACCGCGGAAGAGCCUUGUGGGAGCUCUUCCAACCAUUGGCCCAAGAAAGGAGUAUUGAGACACAGCCCUCCCUCUUUCUUUUCCUGUCCCAGCCAUGAGUAACAGAAACCUGACUGAUGCAGCAUGCUUCUGUCUUACAGGAUAGGACAUCAGAUUGGAACACAAGUGCUCCACAAUGUGCUGUCUUCCCUAGAGGUGGUCAAUAUGAAGCACAUGAGAAAAGGAUUGGUUAGACACAUACAAAGCUAUAAGCCAAGAAGAGGAAAGGGUUUAAAAGAAAAAGGGACAGUUAAGACCAGACAAAAAGACAAGGAAAAGCAGAAUGAAGGAAGGAAUAAGAAAAGAAGAUAUAGGUGGAAAUAGAGAAGUAACAAUGAUUAAAAUAUAUUGAAGCUUUACCAUUUGCCAGGCAUUAUAAAUGCUUUCCACAAAUUACAGUGUGUAAGCCUCAUAAUGUGAGGAAUCUUCUACUAUUUUUCCCACUCAACAGAAAAGAAAAAUGAUGUUUAGAGAGAUACACAGACGUGUUGAAGGUCAUAGAACUAGUGAGGGGAAAACCAGGGAUUUAAAUCCAUGCCUUUCUUAACUCCUAACAUGUACUUCACCUUAUGCUCAAGGGACAAUGUCGUGUGCUUAGUUCAUAUCAACAGCUUAAAUGCAUAAUAUGUGCUAUUAACCUCUGAGCUGGAGUCACAGGCUUUGUGAGAUUGCCGUUCUCUGUCCUGGUGGAAGAGCAAGCCAGUAAACAUGGAAUACUGCCACGGUAAUCAGAGUGAGUAGAGGUCCCAUGGACCUGGGAUUCCAGAGACUUUAUUUUCAUUCAUUCCGCAUUAAUUGGACAGCAGGAUAUGAAGUUGAAUAAAUCCAAAUUAUUGUUCUUGAAAAUAUCAUAGCUUUUAAGGAGAUUAAAAGUUUCAUAUUACUCACUCCUGAAUGAGCUGCAGGGAUCUGUCAAGUGUUUCCUUCUGGUUGAUUCUUCUUUCUGCGAUGACUGCAGCUUUUACUACAUAAUAUUUUAAUGACAAAUAAAAGAAUAGUCUACUAAAUAAGUGACUUAUUGCUUCGUAGCAAUUCUAAGUACUUAACAUUACAUGGUAAUGUGCUUAUCUGUCUUUAUCCAUGGACCCAGAACAAGUACAUAUAAAAUAUUUUUUACUACAAGAAUAGAUGGAAGUUUUAAAGAACUUUAUUAAUUUUUUUUUGGUACCAGGGAUCGAACUCAGGACCUUGCGCUUGCCAGGCAGGCGGCGGCACCACUGAGCUAAAUCCCUAACUGAAAGAACUUUGCAAACCAGAAAUUCUCAUUUUUCAGUAAUAUACAUACAGUUCUUUUAAAAAAAUUAACCCCAACAUGCUAUAUUUAAAGUCCUUACUUUCAAAAAUUGUUUCCUCCCUUUAAAAGGUGCUUGUUUUGACCCCUUAAGUAGGAAUUCUUGGCCUCAUAUGGGCACUCAAAUUUUCAGUUCCUACCCUGAAAAGAAUGUAACACACACCAUAAAGUCAGUAAAUGUCCAAAUAUGGAAUACCUUCCAUUCCCUAAAUUAUCUUUUGAUGAGAAGUAGUUUAGAUAAUGAUAAAACCAUAGUUUACUCAUGGAUAGUGCCACUGUAAUCUCAGGCUGAGAAAGAAGGAUCAGGGAGAGUUCCAGGCCAGCCUAGGCUAUAUAGUGAGUUCAAGGUCAGUCUGAACUACAUAGCAAGACCCUAUCUCAAGAUUAAAAAAAAAUACAUAAAUGAAAAAACUCACAAAUAAGCAAACAAAUAAAUAAACAGAACACACCAUAGAUUGGUCAUUACAAACAUAGAGCUAUAAUGUGUAUAAUGGUCUAUGUUUCUUUUCAAAAGUUCAAGGAGAUAAGAGCCUUCGGUUUCCUAAACAUACCUGUGUGUGUUUGUUUGCUUGUUUUGCAGUAGUGGAAACCAGGGCUUUUCAAAUGCUAACCAAGCACUCAACCAUAUAGCUACACCCCAGCCUAUAUCUACCUUGUUCUCUAGUAAAUAAUGCCAAGUCCACAGCAACUCCAUGACUUCCAGUCAAAGGCCCCAUUAUAGAUUAACUUGCAGGGCACAGCGUGUAUGGCCCGAGGGAAAGUGCAGUUCAACUGGGAUGUCUGUACCAUGUCCUAAGGAAAAGUAUCAGGAGUUUCUGGAAUCCAAAAGACUGAUAACCUUCCUGUAAAUUGGCAGAUUUACAUUUAUUGCAAUGGAGAAAUUUGUCAGACAAUUGCUUAAUCUUUGUCCAAAGAGAAAGGGGAAAAUGUGUUUCAGGAAAUAGUUCUGUUCCUUCCUACUUAGCUCUGAUGAAAAAAAGAAAAAAAAAACCUCAAAACAAGAGUGCAAAAAAUAUUCCUAGUUACAAAAGCAACUCUGAAAAUUUUUAAAUCCUGGGAGUUGUGUAGGCAGAAAAAGUAGUGUUCCUAUUCACUGAUUAAUAACUUUUUUAAUAGCUAGGUUAAUACAUAAAAUAUUAUCCUGAGUUCUAAUCCCUCCUCUCCAACUACCUACCUGCCUAUCCACAAGGCCAUAGGAAGAUUAUUUGCCCAUUUAGUUUCCACAAAUACUGUACAUACUUGGUCUGGAGUGCUCUUGAGUGAUAAGUGGUGCAAAAUAAUUAAUACAUUAACUGACUGACAACAUUUGCAAAAAGGACUCUGCCAGGAUAGCAAGUACUUACCUAUUCUGGGAAAUAAGUCAUCCACUGCCCACAUGAGUCAGGAAGGAGUUAGGUGACCUUUCACCAGUGAUCAUUUUCUUUGUGUAAACGUAAGUAUAACUAUGAUUAGUUCCAUUCACUUGUCCAAAAAUGUCUCUUCCACAAAGGUGCCUCUUUGGAUUGCUAUGGAUCUUUUCCUUUGGGUGUAAGAUUGUAACAAAACUUUGAUAUUUGCUUUUGACUGACUUUUAGGGGCAGUGGGUGCUGAAGACAAAAUCCAAUGCUUCACACAUGCUAAGCAUGUGCUCUAUCACUGCUCUACACCCCAGCCCUUGAAUUGGUUUGAAAGGAUUCUUUAGCAAUAAAGAGACAGUAAAGCAAAAAGUCAAGGCUGUUUUGCUGUGUGUGAAAUGGGAUAGUAAGUCCCUGCCUCACAGGUUGUCUUGAAAAUGAAAUGUAUGGAACUGGUGUAGAAAGUACAUUUAGGGGUACAGGACCACUUUCCUCCACUCACCUGAACCCAGCCAAUGCCCCAGGGCUCCUUGACCUUUCAGGGAGAGAUCAGAGAAGACAAAGACCCCUGAGCCCACCUAGAGAGAUUUCAAAGUGGAAAAACAAGAUCUGUGAGUGCCAGCUCCUCAAGCCUGACCUAUUGUAUCAGUUAGAGUUCACUAGCGUAACAGAUUUGAUGUACUUUAUUUAUUUAUUAGAUAUGCUUACAAUAGCCGCCUGUAGAGUCCUGUGUGGAAGAAUGCAAAAGGGCGGUCUGCACACUGGAGAGCCAAAGAAUCCAGUCAAAGCUUUACUGCCUUCUGCCUGCCAUGAAUUGUUUCUCCUCCAUGAUGCCCUCUGCCAUGCCACCCUGUCUUGGAGCCAGCUAACUUUGGACUAAAACCUCUACAAUCUGAGCUACAAUAAAUUUUUCUUCCUUUAACUUUGGGUGUCAGGAUUUUUGUCUCAGCAAUGAGAAAAAUGCCUAAGACAGUCAUACUGGCCUAGUUUGCAGGGUGAGCAAUGAAUAAGUGAU
rnacentral:lncRNA from 1 species